rnacentral:rRNA from 1 species
AUUGAACGCUGGCGGCAGGCUUAACACAUGCAAGUCGAGCGGGGAAAGGUAGCUUGCUACCUGACCUAGCGGCGGACGGGUGAGUAAUGCUUAGGAAUCUGCCUAUUAGUGGGGGACAACAUUCCGAAAGGAAUGCUAAUACCGCAUACGCCCUACGGGGGAAAGCAGGGGAUCUUCGGACCUUGCGCUAAUAGAUGAGCCUAAGUCAGAUUAGCUAGUUGGUGGGGUAAAGGCCUACCAAGGCGACGAUCUGUAGCGGGUCUGAGAGGAUGAUCCGCCACACUGGGACUGGGACACGGCCCAGACUCCGCCGGGAGGCAGCAGUGGGGAAUAUUGGACAAUGGGCGAAAGCCUGAUCCAGCCAUGCCGCGUGUGUGAAGAAGGCCUUUUGGUUGUAAAGCACUUUAAGCGAGGAGGAGGCUACUUGGAUUAAUACUCUAGGAUAGUGGACGUUACUCGCAGAAUAAGCACCGGCUAACUCUGUGCCAGCAGCCGCGGUAACAC